rnacentral:lncRNA from 10 species
GAUCUCCUGACCUCGUGACCUGCCCAGCUCGGCCUCCCAAAGUGCUGGGAUUACAGGCAUGAGCCAUUGCGCCUAACCUCAGAAACCAUUUUUAUAACCUCAAUACCUAAUAGAAACUGGCACAUGGGCUGUGUGCGAAAUGUUCAAACUUGCUCACUGGGUUAAAAAGGAUGGACAGCUUAGAGAAAAAGAAGAAAAAAAGGAAACUCGGCUGUGCGCAGUGACUCAUGCCUAUAAUGCCAGCACUUUGGGAGGCCAACUUUGCAAAUUAAAUGGUUCACAUAUGAAGGAGCACAGCUGUAGAAGGAAAAUAAGGAAGAGAAAAUAACUUCGGAAAAUUCCCAGGACUCAUACUCUAAAGGCCCUGUGAGCUGUGACUGCAAGAGUCAGCACCUAAAUUAGAUCAACACUACAACAUCAAAAAGGCAGCUUGAUGGCACAGCGGGGAGUGAGGAAGACUCGGUGGACAAAUCUGACUGGAAAACAAGUAGGCGUUGCAGAUGGGGCUGAAAGUGCAAGACCAGAGCACCAGCAUGGAUGGGUUGCAGUGAGGGCUCUCUUUUGAGCUGCAGGUGGCUGUCUUCUCAUUUAUCUUCACAUGGAGACCUGGAACCAUGGUAGGAAGUGGGACAGGGAGCAUUUGGACAAGCUGUUCAAGAACUGAUCAUGCUCAUGUGUAUGGGAAAACAGAUGGAGGAAGAGAAAUUCCUGAAGAGCACAAGACUGGUGGGGCAAGGAACAAGCCUACUGAGAUGAGUUGCAGAUUUGAAGAUGGGAGAAAUGGUUUCGUUGUCUAC